UUCGGGGGACAGGGUGACAGGUGGUGGCAUGGUUGUCGUCAGCUCGUGUCGUGAGAUGUUGGGUUAAGUCCCGCAACGAGCGCAACCCUCGACCUUAGUUGCCAGCAUUCAGUUGGGCACUCUAAGGUGACUGCGGCUAAAAGUCGGAGGAAGGUGGGGAUGACGUCAAAUCAUCAUGCCCCUUAUGACCUGGGCUACACACGUGCUACAAUGGGCGGUACAAAGGGUCGCGAACCCGCGAGGGGGAGCCAAUCCCAAAAAGCCGCUCUCAGUUCGGAUUGCAGGCUGCAACUCGCCUGCAUGAAGCCGGAAUCGCUAGUAAUCGCGGAUCAGCAUGCCGCGGUGAAUACGUUCCCGGGCCUU
rnacentral:rRNA from 1 species